rnacentral:siRNA from 1 species
UGAGUGAAACGGCUUGUGCCA